UAGGGAAUCUUCGGCAAUGGGGGCAACCCUGACCGAGCAACGCCGCGUGAGUGAAGAAGGUUUUCGGAUCGUAAAGCUCUGUUGUAAGAGAAGAACGUGUGUGAGAGUGAAAAGUUCACACAGUGACGGUAACUUACCAGAAAGGGACGGCUAACUACGUGCCAG
rnacentral:rRNA from 1 species